AACGCGAAGAACCUUACCAGGACUUGACAUGGGGAGGACGCAGCCAGAAAUGGCUGUUCCCGCAAGGGCCUCCUGCACAGGUGCUGCAUGGCUGUCGUCAGCUCGUGUCGUGAGAUGUUGGGUUAAGUCCCGCAACGAGCGCAACCCUCGCCUUCAGUUGCCAGCACGUUUGGGUGGGCACUCUGAAGGAACUGCCGGUGACAAGCCGGAGGAAGGUGGGGAUGACGUCAAGUCCUCAUGGCCCUUAUGUCCUGGGCUACACACGUGCUACAAUGGCGGUGACAGUGGGAAGCCAGGUGGCGACACCGAGCUGAUCCCAAAAAGCCGUCUCAGUUCAGAUUGCACUCUGCAACUCGGGUGCAUGAAGGUGGAAUCGCUAGUAAUCGCGGAUCAGCACGCCGCGGUGAAUACGUUCCCGGGCCUUGUA
rnacentral:rRNA from 1 species